rnacentral:rRNA from 1 species
GACGAACGCUGGCGGCGUGCUUAACACAUGCAAGUCGAACGGAAAGGCCCUGCUUUUGUGGGGUGCUCGAGUGGCGAACGGGUGAGUAACACGUGAGUAACCUGCCCUUGACUUUGGGAUAACUUCAGGAAACUGGGGCUAAUACCGGAUAGGAGCUCCUGCUGCAUGGUGGGGGUUGGAAAGUUUCGGCGGUUGGGGAUGGACUCGCGGCUUAUCAGCUUGUUGGUGGGGUAGUGGCUUACCAAGGCUUUGACGGGUAGCCGGCCUGAGAGGGUGACCGGCCACACUGGGACUGAGAUACGGCCCAGACUCCUCCGGGAGGCAGCAGUGGGGAAUAUUGCACAAUGGGCGGAAGCCUGAUGCAGCAACGCCGCGUGCGGGAUGACGGCCUUCGGGUUGUAAACCGCUUUCGCCUGUGACGAAGCGUGAGUGACGGUAAUGGGUAAAGAGGCACCGGCUAACUACGUG